AUUCGCGACAAACCCAACCUCUCUCUCCAAUAGGCAAAACCACACACAAAUACAUAGAAUACAUGUAUCUUCAGAUUUCUCGAAAUUCGUUCGUCAAACCUAAAAUCCAUAAGUGCCAUUGGUUCCAGAAUAGUCGAACCAUUGAAAACGAGCUAUUGGAUCGCUAUAAACGAAGUUCGAUAAGCGCCAGAAGCGAUCUCUGCACCUUGGCCUCUUCGGAACCGGGUUAGUAUUCACUUUAAGUAAAAAGAAAAGAUCGCGUAAAAUCUCCAUUCUAACUCGUUUUCUCCCGAAACUUGACGAGUGUUUUUGUAAUUAAAUUACACACAAAAAUAUCGUCAAUAGAGAAUUUAGUUGCACUACCAAAAUUUCAAUCCUUACACCUGAUUAUACCUUUAUAUUCAAGAAUUAUAAAAUAGAAAUUGACACUUUCAACAAA
rnacentral:lncRNA from 1 species